UCCCUGGAGGACUAGUGGUUAGGCCACAGCGCUCUCACUGCUAGGCCUGGGUUCGUUUCCCAGCCAGGGAA